ACACCGAAAGACUAAGGUUUCCUGAUCAACGCUAAUCGGAUCAGGGUUAGUCGGGACCUAAGGCGUACCCAAACGGGAUAGCUAAUGGAUAUCAGGUUAAUAUUCCUGUACUUCCUUACAGUGCAAGGUAGGGACGUGAACAUCAGGUGCUUACGUACUGACGGAAUAGUGCGUCGAGCCUAGCCUUUGGGCGAAGCAAAAGCAAGUAGUGUUCACCAAGAAAAGCUACCAAAGCUUCAGCUGUAAGGAACUCGUACCGCAAACCAACACAGGUAGUCGAGGAGAGUAUCCACAGGUGCUCGAGUGAUUCAUGGCUAAGGAACUAGGCAAAUUGACCCUGUAACUUCGGAAGAAAGGGUCCCCGACUACGGUCGGGGCGCAGAGAAAUGGCCCAGGCGACUGUUUAACAAAAACACAUGGCUUUGCUAAAUCGAAAGAUGACGUAUAAGGCCUGACACCUGCCCGGUGCUGGAAGGUUAAGGGGAGAGGUUAUCCCGACUCGUCGGGAGAAGCUUCAAACUGAAGCCCCAGUAAACGGCGGCCGUAACUAUAACGGUCCUAAGGUAGCGAAAUUCCUUGUCGGGUAAGUUCCGACCUGCACGAAUGGUGUAACGAUCUGGGCACUGUCUCAGCCAUGAGCUCGGUGAAAUUGUAGUAGCGGUGAAGAUGCCGCUUACCCGCAACGGGACGGGAAGACCCCGUGAACCUUUACUAUAGCUUAACAUUGACUCUGGAUAAAUGAUGUGUAGGAUAGGUGGGAGACUGUGAAGUCCCAACGCCAGUUGGGAUGGAGUCAACCUUGAAAUACCACCCUUCGUUUAUUCGGAGCCUAAUCCCCUCUAUCGCGGGAAACAGUGUUUGGUGGGUAGUUUGACUGGGGUGGUCGCCUCCAAAAACGUAACGGAGGCUCUCAAAGGUACCCUCAGCACGCUUGGUAACCGUGCGUCGAGUGCAAUGGCAUAAGGGUGCUUGACUGCGAGACUUACUAGUCGAACAGGUAGGAAACUAGGACAUAGUGAUCCGGUGGUCCCAUAUGGAAGGGCCAUCGCUCAAAGGAUAAAAGGUACUCCGGGGAUAACAGGCUGAUCACUCCCAAGAGCUCACAUCGACGGAGUGGUUUGGCACCUCGAUGUCGGCUCGUCAUAUCCUGGGGCUGGAGAAGGUCCCAAGGGUUCGGCUGUUCGCCGAUUAAAAUGGCACGCGAGCUGGGUUCAGAACGUCGUGAGACAGUUCGGUCCCUAUCUGUUGCGGGCGUGGGAAGUUUGAGGGGACCUGACCUUAGUACGAGAGGACCGGGUUGGACAAACCGCUGGUGUACCUGCUGUGGCGCCUAGCUGCACCGCAGGGUAGCUACGUUUGGUCGAGAGAAGUGCUGAAAGCAUCUAAGUACGAAACUCACCCCAAGAUGAGACUUCCAUUGAGGGCCCUUGUAGACUACAAGGUCGAUAGGCUGCAGGUGUAAAGAUGGUAACAUCCGUGCCAAGCAGUACUAAUCGCCCAAUACUUUAUCUC
rnacentral:rRNA from 1 species